CAAUGUUCUCAGGGCGGGGUGAAAGUCCCCACCGGCGGUAAGGGUUUCGACCCAAGCCCGCGAGCGCCUCCCGGUAACAGGAGGGUCAGCAGAUCCGGUGUGAUUCCGGAGCCGACGGUCACAGUCCGGAUGGAAGAGAACGAAC
rfam:Mesorhizobium amorphae CCNWGS0123 contig00105, whole genome shotgun sequence.